CAAUAUUUUAUUGUUUCCCUUCUACGUGACUUUACCGAAAGAACCAAGACUGAGUCCCUGCAGUCACGAAAGCUUUAAAUCAUUUUUUUUUUACCUGUUAAACCCUAGGCCCUCCCCGAGACCUUACCCGUGCAACUUAAUCGUGCAGUUGAAAUCUUACAAAAAAAAACUGCUACCUUUAAACAACAAUGCACCACGAUAUUUUUAACUUCACGCGAUAUUUUGGUUUUCUCCUCACAGGAAUAGACGGCGGUACAUUUUAUUCCGCUCGUGUGCACUGUAAUGGCCUCCUCCUCAACGGCCGGUCGAAUAUUGUGACAGCGAUGUCUCCGAAUCCCACGCCGGAGAGUGUCUAUGAAGCCGUAACGAGUGCAUUGGGAAUGGUGGGAGGUGUGUGUCGGAGGCUUUGAAAGUGGGGUAUCUAUAAAUGCAUCGCCACGUGCGUGUGUGUGUGUAUACACUCGAAGGAGUGGUAGCGUAGCAGUGGUGAGCGCGAGGCGCUACGAACCUGGCAAACUGGGAACGAUUCCCCGCUCACGGCCGACACCGGUGACGACUAUCCGAACCGGUCCUGGGCCUCCCCUAGGUCGACUCUGCCUCAGAUGAGUAGCUGAUGCAGUGGUGUAAGCAUCGCUACUGGGGAUACAAAGGCGGCCCGGCGUGGUGCUGGCCACCCCACCCGCUUGUGUAACGUUCCGGCCUGGAGAAAACCAACGCGUGGCAGAAUAAGUGGUGUCCGCAUCGAUGCUGUACCUCAUCCUCCUGGCGAGCCGUGCUCGCUUAAUAAAAAAAAGGAAUGUACUUGAAA